CACUCGUUACAAGUAAACAUCAGCACAGAAACGUUCCUUCGGGUACAAGCUGUUCAACUUCGACGUGCAAGCCAUCGAAUGGAGCCAAUACUGGCAAAACUACAUACUUGGAAUCCGCAAGUAUUUGUUGAAGGUAGAAGAGUCCAAAGAACUAGAAGCACGGAAACACCUGGGACGACUGUACGUUAUGCACUUAGUAUUCCAAGCACUGCUGCUCAUGUUUGUCUGGUGGCUUAUGCGGACGAGCACAGCGUGGAACCUGUACUCCUUCGUGGCGAUGACUGCAAGAAUGACGGACCAAACGCUACUGCACCUGUUGAAUAUGCUGCCAAAGUAGUGACAAGCACUGUGACAACGUAUUAAUUUGCCGGCAAGCUCUCUUCAAGUGGUCCACAACAGAAGGCUUCGUGGAUCGAUAGCUAUAGCCCUGUUGCGACGUUCAUAGCAAAGCGGAAAUAAAUAUUCGUAAGAAAUGUUGCGAAAUAAAUGUCAAUUUAUAUGCUG